rnacentral:tRNA from 1 species
UCUAUUAUGGCAGAAUAGUGCAAUGAACCUAAAAUUCAAACAUAAAGUUAAACUUUUUUUAGAA